UGGGGAAUAUUGCACAAUGGGCGCAAGCCUGAUGCAGCCAUGCCGCGUGUAUGAAGAAGGCCUUCGGGUUGUAAAGUACUUUCAGCGGGGAGGAAGGCGAUAAGGUUAAUGACCUUGUCGAUUGACGUUACCCGCAGAAGAAGCACCGGCUAACUCCGUGCCAGCAGCCGCGGUAAUACGGAGGGUGCAAGCGUUAAUCGGAAUUACUGGGCGUAAAGCGCACGCAGGCGGUCUGUCAAGUCGGAUGUGAAAUCCCCGGGCUCAACCUGGGAACUGCAUUCGAAACUGGCAGGCUAGAGUCUUGUAGAGGGGGGUAGAAUUCCAGGUGUAGCGGUGAAAUGCGUAGAGAUCUGGAGGAAUACCGGUGGCGAAGGCGGCCCCCUGGACAAAGACUGACGCUCAGGUGCGAAAGCGUGGGGAGCAAACA
rnacentral:rRNA from 1 species